rnacentral:rRNA from 1 species
GCAAGUCGAGCGGACCGACGGGAGCUUGCUCCCUUAGGUCAGCGGCGGACGGGUGAGUAACACGUGGGUAACCUGCCUGUAAGACUGGGAUAACUCCGGGAAACCGGGGCUAAUACCGGAUGCUUGAUUGAACCGCAUGGUUCAAUCAUAAAAGGUGGCUUUUAGCUACCACUUGCAGAUGGACCCGCGGCGCAUUAGCUAGUUGGUGAGGUAACGGCUCACCAAGGCGACGAUGCGUAGCCGACCUGAGAGGGUGAUCGGCCACACUGGGACUGAGACACGGCCCAGACUCCUACGGGAGGCAGCAGUAGGGAAUCUUCCGCAAUGGACGAAAGUCUGACGGAGCAACGCCGCGUGAGUGAUGAAGGUUUUCGGAUCGUAAAACUCUGUUGUUAGGGAAGAACAAGUACCGUUCGAAUAGGGCGGUACCUUGACGGUACCUAACCAGAAAGCCACGGCUAACUACGUGCCAGCAGCCGCGGUAAUACGUAGGUGGCAAGCGUUGUCCGGAAUUAUUGGGCGUAAAGCGCGCGCAGGCGGUUUCUUAAGUCUGAUGUGAAAGCCCCCGGCUCAACCGGGGAGGGUCAUUGGAAACUGGGGAACUUGAGUGCAGAAGAGGAGAGUGGAAUUCCACGUGUAGCGGUGAAUGCGUAGAGAUGUGGAGGAACACCAGUGGCGAAGGCGACUCUCUGGUCUGUAACUGAC